GUCCGCGAGGCCUGUCCGCGACGCGCAUAGCAACAGUCUACCUGCUUCCCUACCAACAACAUUUCAGAAAAGUCGCACGGCGAAAUGGACGAAAAGGAAAGGUGGAGCAGAGAGGGAGAGAAUUAAAAGAGAAAGGCCCUUGCCACAGACGCAGCUAAAUGCUGCAAAAAUAAGUGACAUGUUCGCCAGUAAGGGACCAGGUGGAGAAGGAAGCAGCAGCAGCACUAGAGCUUCAGGUGCUCCUGCUGAACUGGAGAUGGUGGUCAGUUCAGAGUCAGACUCAGAGCAGGAACCUUCAGGUACAACAGCAACCAGAUGUGCAGAGAGAGAGAGAGAGAGGUUCGGAGCCCAGUACAUGGAAAUAUAGAAAGGGACAGUGAAAGCACUGAAAAUACAUUUGAUUAUUUUUCCUGUCCUCAGUCCAAGGAUUUUGACUUAUUUUUUCAGUACCACCCAAAACAAACCCCUCAAAGAGUCAUUCCCAAUGUAUUCCACUCCAAAGAUGUCACAAACAGAAAAUGGCUGACAUUCUAUGAAGUAACUCACUACUUGUUCUGCUCAGUUUGUCUUGCAUUCGCAAAACCUUCAGCCAUUGAUAGUGCAUUUGUCAAAGGAGGCAUGCAGGCCUAGAAACAUGCCCAUCAGAGAGUACAGGAGUUUCUUGAGCUUAUAUUGUUGCUAAGCAUGCAAACUCAGUGUUCGGAUAGGCUACUUGUUGAUCAGUCUCAAAUGUUUGUAUUUUGUCAUGUGGAAUCCUGAAUUAUUGUUUCAGUCCGCCCCUGGUUAACACCAUCUGCUUCACACAACCGACCGAUUCAAAGCGGCAUGUGUGACCCUACUGUGCCUUUGGCCAGCCCAGCAGCGCUGCGUGAUUCUCAGAGGCGUGCGUGUCCUGUUUUCUCAACAUUAUGAACACCUGCUCUUUCCAUGCCAUAGCCUGACCAGGUGAAUGUUGGGGCGGCAAUGUAGCCUGGUUAGAGCGUUGGACUAGAGCGUUGGACUAGUAACCUGAAGGUUGCAAGUUCAAACCCCCGAGCUGACAAGGUACAAAUCUGUCGUUCUGCCACUGAACAGGCAGUUAACCCACUGUUCCUAGGCCGUCAUUGAAAAUAAGAAUUUGUUCUGAACUGACUUGCCUAGUUAAAUAAAGGUAAAAAAAAUACUCCCUUAAAAAAAAUACUCUACUUCAGUGUAGAUGAAGGGGAGGAGACAGGUUGAAGAAGGAUUUUUAAGUCUUGAGUAAAUUGAGAUAUGGAUUGUGUAUGUGUGUCAUGCAGAGGGUGAAUGGGCAAGACAAAAUAUUUAAGUGCCUUUGAACAGGGUAUGGUAGUAGGUGCCAGGCGCACCGGUUUGAAUGUGUCAAGAACUGCAACGCUGCUGGAUUUGUCACGCUCAACAGUUUCCCGUGUGUAUUGUGCACGGCCCUCCACCCAAAUGACAUCCAGACAACUUGACACGACUGUCAAAUUUGUGUAUAUUCCAUAUGUUAACCAAUACUUGAGAAGCGAAUACAGUUUACACGGGUGUGUGUGACGCGUCUCUUCCUCCAUACAGAUCCUAUCGUGUUGACGAUCGCAAGCUACGAUUUUUUGAACUUUCCCCGCUAGUCAGGUUGGCCUAAUGUUGCAUUUCUUGCCUUUUUAAAAAUUAUUUAUGGGGGGCAUUUCAUCAGUACAUUGCAUUUAUGGAAAGCAUGUAUGCAAAGUUAUGUAGCAUUUGAUGCAUGUCAGAUCCACAUGGGCAAAUUAGAUUCAAAUAAUGCAUAAUAAUAACGAUUUUCAUAGCUUUGGGUGUCCAAAAGAUAGAGUUCACAACUUUCUCCAAAUGCAGAUAAAUGUUGGCUUCUAACUAACAUCAAGUAAAUUAGGUACCAGUGUUGUGCCGAAUAUCCCCCUGCCAGAAUCCACCCCCGCCUUCGAAUUUCCUUAAUUUUGUGGCUCGAGUCAAAUACUUUCGGUGACACACAUCAGAGUCAAAUAGUUUCUAUAGAACAAACUUCAUGCCAGAAAAGGCAACCGACAUGAAUCAUUAAUCACGACGCCAGGACAGCGGAGUCAAUCACCACCUUCCGGAGACACCUGAAACCCCACCUCUUUAAGGAAUACCUAGGAUAGGAUAAGUAAUCCUUCUC